rnacentral:rRNA from 1 species
UAAUAUUCCCGUACUUCUGACUAUUGCGAUGGGGGGACGGAGAAGGCUAGGUGGGCCAGGCGACGGUUGUCCUGGUUCAAGUGCGUAGGCUUGAGAGUUAGGUAAAUCCGGCUCUCUCUAAGGCUGAGACACGACGUCGAGCUACUACGGUAGUGAAGUCAUUGAUGCCAUGCUUCCAGGAAAAGCCUCUAAGCUUCAGAUAGUCAGGAAUCGUACCCCAAACCGACACAGGUGGUCGGGUAGAGAAUACCAAGGCGCUUGAGAGAACUCGGGUGAAGGAACUAGGCAAAAUGGUACCGUAACU